rnacentral:rRNA from 1 species
UACGUAGGGGGCAAGUGUUGUCCGGAUUUAUUGGGCGUAAAGAGCGUGUAGGCGGCCAGGUAGGUCUGCUGUGAAAACUCGAGGCUUAACCUCGAGCUGUCGGCGGAAACCAUCUGGCUAGAGUCCGGAAGAGGAGAAUGGAAUUCCCGGUGUAGCGGUGAAAUGCGCAGAUAUCGGGAAGAACACCCGUGGCGAAGGCGGCUCUCUGGGACGGUACUGACGCUGAGACGCGAAAGCGUGGGGAGCGAACAGG